rnacentral:rRNA from 1 species
AUCCUUUGCUGAGGAUACGGUUAACGGAGCGAAAGCGACGUUCAACCGCAAAACAAGCAGAGGGGGCUUAGUGGUGGGGUGACUGCGUACCUUUUGUAUAAUGGGUCAGCGACUUAUAUUCUGUAGCAAGGUUAACCGAAUAGGGGAGCCGGAGGGAAACCGAGUCUUAAUUGGGCGUUAAGUUGCAGGGUAUAGACCCGAAACCCGGUGAUCUAGCCAUGGGCAGGUUGAAGGUUGGGUAACACUAACUGGAGGACCGAACCGACUAAUGUUGAAAAAUUAGCGGAUGACCUGUGGCUGGGGGUGAAAGGCCAAUCAAACCGGGAGAUAGCUGGUUCUCCCCGAAAGCUAUUUAGGUAGCGCCUCGUGAAUUCAUCUCCGGGGGUAGAGCACUGUUUCGGCUAGGGGGCCAUCCCGGCUUACCAACCCGAUGCAAACUGCGAAUACCGGAGAAUGUUAUCACGGGAGACACACGGCGGGUGCUAACGUCCGUCGUGAAGAGGGAAACAACCCAGACCGCCAGCUAAGGUCCCAAAGUCAUGGUUAAGUGGGAAACGAUGUGGGAAGGCCCAGACAGCCAGGAUGUUGGCUUAGAAGCAGCCAUCAUUUAAAGAAAGCGUAAUAGCUCACUGGUCGAGUCGGCCUGCGCGGAAGAUGUAACGGGGCUAAACCAUGCACCGAAGCUGCGGCAGCGAACGUAUCACCCAAGACAACUUUACGGAGUUGACGAUUGACGGAGCGAAGCGACGUCAAAGCGUUCAUUAAAGUCGAGUUGGCUUAGGGAUACGUUCGUUGGGUAGGGGAGCGUUCUGUAAGCCUGUGAAGGUGUGUCGUGAGGCAUGCUGGAGGUAUCAGAAGUGCGAAUGCUGACAUAAGUAACGAUAAAGCGGGUGAAAAGCCCGCUCGCCGGAAGACCAAGGGUUCCUGUCCAACGUUAAUCGGGGCAGGGUGAGUCGACCCCUAAGGCGAGGCCGAAAGGCGUAGUCGAUGGGAAACGGGUUAAUAUUCCCGUACUUGGUGUUACUGCGAAGGGGGGACGGAGAAGGCUAUGUUGGCCGGGCGACGGUUGUCCCGGUUUAAGCGUGUAGGUGUGUGUUCCAGGUAAAUCCGGUUCACUUUAACACUGAGGCGUGACGACGAGGCACUACGGUGCUGAAGCAACAAAUGCCCUGCUUCCAGGAAAAGCCUCUAAGCAUCAGGUAACAC